rnacentral:tRNA from 1 species
AUUGGGGUCGGGCUGGGUGGCUUUAGAAUUCAUAUUUCUAAGAUUAUAUUCCAAUG